rnacentral:tRNA from 1 species
GCGGGGAUGGAGCAACAGUUGGCUCAUCAGUUUCAUAAGCUGAAAAUCAGUAGGUGCAAUUCCUGCCCCCGUC